AGGUGACGUACAUUCAGUGUUUGUCUGCCAGCAGAUUUCAUCAAGACAAACGCAAAGAUAACGACUUGCAAUGAUGCUUCUCUUCGUUUGUCUCUUGUGCCUCCCACUGUCGGUUCUCGGUGAUGACCGAGACGCCCACCUGUAUAGAGUGGACAUCUAUAUGCCUCCCGAGAAGGGGAGGGACGAGACGGCAGAGAUACGUCAGAUUAAUGACAAACUGAACGAUCUUACUGACAUCAAGGUUCUCUUUUCAUUUAAGGAGCUCUGAAAUCCAAGAAUACUUCUUGUUCUUGACGUUGAGGAGCCAGGAAGCUGGUCCCAGUUGACGGGUUUUCUGUCAAGGAAGGGAUACGAGUUCAGCGCCGUGUCCCUCUAUCCAUGCGGUGACUUCGCCAAAGUGCUUGGCGUCACCAUGCCCGACGACAUGUGGGCGUCAUCUUUUGAGGAUAAGGAUCUCCUGAUG